rnacentral:rRNA from 1 species
CAGCCGCCACGGUAAUACAGAGGGUGCAAGCGUUAAUCGGAAUUACUGGGCGUAAAGCGCGCGUAGGUGGUUUGUUAAGUUGGAUGUGAAAUCCCCGGGCUCAACCUGGGAACUGCAUCCAAAACUGGCAAGCUAGAGUAUGGUAGAGGGUGGUGGAAUUUCCUGUGUAGCGGUGAAAUGCGUAGAUAUAGGAAGGAACACCAGUGGCGAAGGCGACCACCUGGACUGAUACUGACACUGAGGUGCGAAAGCGUGGGGAGCAAACAGGAUUAGAUACCCCGGUAGUCCCUGUCUCUUAUAC